rnacentral:rRNA from 1 species
GCAGUCANGGAGAACAUUUUCUUCGGAAAAUUAUUAAACUGGCGAACGGGUGAGUAACACGUAGGUAACCUGCCUUGAAGAUUGGGAUAACUCCGGGAAACCGGAGCUAAUACCGAAUAAUGCAGCGAAUCCUUAGGGAUAUGUUGUUAAAGCGGGCUUCGGCUCGCACUUCGAGAUGGGCCUGCGACCGAUUAGCUUGUUGGUGAGGUAAUGGCUCACCAAGGCGAUGAUCGGUAGCUGGUCUGAGAGGAUGAUCAGCCACACUGGGAUUGAGAUACGGCCCAGACUCCUACGGGAGGCAGCAGUGGGGAAUUUUGCGCAAUGGACGAAAGUCUGACGCAGCAACGCCGCGUGAUUGAUGAAGCUUUUAGGAGUGUAAAGAUCUGUCGUGAGGGAAGAAAAACCUGGAUGUAAAUAAUGUUCAGGCGUGACGGUACCUCACAAGAAAGCACCGGCUAACUUCGUGCCAGCAGCCGCGGUAAUACGAGGGGUGCUAGCGUUGUCCGGAAUUACUGGGCGUAAAGGGUCCGUAGGCGUCUUGACAAGUUGAUCGUUAAAUCCACCGGCUUAACCGGUGAUCUGCGGUCAAAACUGGCAGGAUAGAAUAUGUGAGAGGAAAGUAGAAUUCCUGGUGUAGCGGUGACAUGCGUAGAUAUCAGGAGGAACACCAAUGGCGAAGGCAGCUUUCUGGCACAAUAUUGACGCUGAGGGACGAAAGCGUGGGGAGCGAACAGGAUUAGAUACCCUGGUAGUCCACGCCGUAAACGAUGAGUACUUGGUGGUGGGAGAUUCGACCCUCUCACUAUCGGA